GAUGAACGCUGGCGGCGUGCCUAAUACAUGCAAGUCGAGCGAACAGAUGAGGAGCUUGCUCCUCUGACGUUAGCGGCGGACGGGUGAGUAACACGUGGAUAACCUACCUAUAAGACUGGGAUAACUUCGGGAAACCGGAGCUAAUACCGGAUAAUAUAUUGAACCGCAUGGUUCAAUAGUGAAAGACGGUUUUGCUGUCACUUAUAGAUGGAUCCGCGCCGCAUUAGCUAGUUGGUAAGGUAACGGCUUACCAAGGCAACGAUGCGUAGCCGACCUGAGAGGGGGAUCGGCCACACUGGAACUGAGACACGGUCCAGACUCCUACGGGAGGCAGCAGUAGGGAAUCUUCCGCAAUGGGCGAAAGCCUGACGGAGCAACGCCGCGUGAGAGAUGAAGGUCUUCGGAUCGUAAAACUCUGUUAUUAGGGAAGAACAAAUGUGGAAGUAACUAUGCACGUCUUGACGGUACCUAAUCAGAAAGCCACGGCUAACUACGUG
rnacentral:rRNA from 1 species